rnacentral:misc_RNA from 1 species
GAUGAAGAACGUAGCGAAAUGCGAUACGUAAUGUGAAUUGCAAAUUCAGUGAAUCAUCGAGUCUUUGAACGCACAUUGCGCCCCCUGGUAUUCCGGGGGGCAUGCCUGUCCGAGCGUCAUUGCUGCCUUCAAGCACGGCUUGUGUGUUGGGCCCCGUCCUCCGAUCCCGGGGGACGGGCCCGAAAGGCAGCGGCGGCACCGCGUCCGGUCCUCGAGCGUAUGGGGCUUUGUCACCCGCUCUGUAGGCCCGGCCGGCGCUUGCCGAUCAACCCAAAUUUUUUAUCCAGGUUGACCUCGGAUCAGGUAGGGAUACCCGCUGAACUUAAGCAUAUCAAUAAGCGGAGGA